UAUCAUGGCUCAGAACGAACGCUGGCGGCAUGCCUAACACAUGCAAGUCGAACGAGAAGGUACCUUCGGGUACUGGACAGUGGCGCACGGGUGAGUAACGCGUGGGAACCUGCCCUGAGGUACGGGAUAACGGCUGGAAACGGCCGCUAAUACCGUAUGUCCCCUGAGGGGGAAAGAUUUAUCGCCUUGGGAGGGGCCCGCGUCCGAUUAGCUUGUUGGUGAGGUAAUGGCUCACCAAGGCGACGAUCGGUAGCUGGUCUGAGAGGAUGAUCAGCCACACUGGGACUGAGACACGGCCCAGACUCCUACGGGAGGCAGCAGUGGGGAAUAUUGGACAAUGGGGGCAACCCUGAUCCAGCAAUGCCGCGUGUGUGAUGAAGGCCUUAGGGUUGUAAAGCACUUUCACUGGUGAAGAUGAUGACGGUAGCCAGAGAAGAAGCCCCGGCUAACUCCGUGCCAGCAGCCGCGGUAAUACGGAGGGGGCAAGCGUUGUUCGGAAUUACUGGGCGUAAAGGGCGUGUAGGCGGCGAUUUUAGUCAGGCGUGAAAGCCCGGGGCUCAACCUCGGAAUAGCGCUUGAUACUGGAUCGCUUGAGACCGGAAGAGGGUAGUGGAAUUCCCAGUGUAGAGGUGAAAUUCGUAGAUAUUGGGAAGAACACCAGUGGCGAAGGCGGCUACCUGGNCCGGANCUGACGCUGAGGCGCGAAAGCGUGGGGAGCAAACAGGAU
rnacentral:rRNA from 1 species